AUUUCCCCGUCCCUACUUCACAAGCUUGCCCUGGAUUCCUGAACUCAAGCAUUCUGCUUCUUGUUAAGAAUUUCAAAAGGCGGCUCCUCCGAAAGCCGACACUGGCCACGGCCCAACCUUGAAAUGAAAAGCAAAUCUGCUUCUAAAGGCUUCCCCUUCUAUCAGGAUUGCCUGUCCUUGUGGAUGUCCUGACAGGGGCAGGCAGAGAGAAGCGAUCCCCUCAAAUUCCAUUUUAACACCCAUUCCGGAUCGGAGGAAUAUUAAAGGGCAAGCCAACAGCCCUACACCUUGCUGCUUGUAUGUGUCAGCAGCCGUGGCUCAUGUCCUGGGGCAGAGGCGCCGAAGAUGUGAGGGCUGAGCUGCUCAUCCGAUGGCUUGAUUGACACUUUGCAGACAGGGGUGGAAGAAGCGAGCCGGGGAAGCAGCAAGCUGUACAGCUCAGAAAUAAUGAGAGGACCCGAGUGGAGAGAGAAAGCGGAAUAAAUAAGAGAGACCUAGGAGUGCAGAGGGAGAGCCUUCUGCUCUGUUUUCUUCCCUGCCUCACUUGGCCAAGGAGCUGAAGCCUAGGGCAAGGAGACCUUUCCAUGAAGCUCCGAGGACAUUAAAGGCAAGUCAGAUGUCUAAGCAAUGUCCCAUCACCCUCUGUGGAGGAGAGGCUGUGUCUGGGGUUGAGAUUCUGUCAAUACCUCCCUCUGCUCUGGCACCUGCUGCUCUUCCUGGCCAUUCCCAGUCUUCACAGCCUGACAUCACCGUUGCUGCAAGAUAGCAAUGGUUAAAAAUGGACCAUGGCAAUUAUGAGCAAAGAUGGCUGCCUCCCUCACUGGACAGCAAAAGUGGAAAUCUCAUCCUACCAGCCACCAGGAGAGCUGGCCCUGUGUAAGCCAGGCAGGCUUUGGCUGGAGGACCAGUAUGCAUGGGACCCCUAAAGCACCAUCAUGAAUGGAAAGCCUGCUGUGAUUCAGCCACGGAAGAAGGAGAAAGCAGGGAAACAGAACUAUGGAGGGAGGACAAGAGAUCAAAGAUCUGGGAAGUAAGGAGGAAGAGAAAGCCCCCGCUGGUCCCGCAAAUCGAUUCUCUGCAAGGCCCGCCUCCCCGUCUGUGCUCCGAACUCCUAAGCAGAAUGUAGCCUCCAUGGGAUGCCAGGCCUGAACAGAAGGGCCCAGGAGCACGGGGCAGACACACAUGCCAGGCUGCCAGAACCACUGGGCCUGAUUUGUCCUACAGGGAGGUCCUGCAUCCUCCAGACACCCCCUGACCUCUCUCCAAAAUACACACGCUCUGUUUGCUUCAGGGGA